rnacentral:rRNA from 1 species
GCCUAAAGGGGCCGUAGCCGGUUCGAUCAGUCUUCCGGGAAAUCUGACAGCUCAACUGUUAGGCUUCCGGAGGAUACUGUCGGACUUGGGACCGGGAGAGGUAAGAGGUACUACAGGGGUAGGAGUGAAAUCUUGUAAUCCUUGUGGGACCACCAGUGGCGAAGGCGUCUUACCAGAACGGGUCCGACGGUGAGGGACGAAAGCUGGGGGCACGAACCGGAUUAGAUACCCGGGUAGUCCCAGCCGUAAACGAUGCUCGCUAGGUGUCUGGGACGGUGCGACCGUUUCAGGUGCCGCAGGGAAGCCGUGAAGCGAGCCACCUGGGAAGUACGGCCGCAAGGCUGAAACUUAAAGGAAUUGGCGGGGGAGCACUACAACGGGUGGAGCCUGCGGUUUAAUUGGACUCAACGCCGGAAAACUCACCUGGGGCGACAGCAAUAUGUAGGUCAGGCUGAAGGUCUUACCUGAAUCGCUGAGAGGAGGUGCAUGGCCGUCGUCAGUUCGUACUGUGAAGCAUCCUGUUAAGUCAGGCAACGAGCGAGACCCGUGCCCACUGUUGCCAGCAUAUCCUUCGGGAUGAUGGGUACUCUGUGGGGACCGCUGGUGCUAAACCAGAGGAAGGUGCGGGCUACGGUAGGUCAGUAUGCCCCGAAUCUCCAGGGCUACACGCGGGCUACAAUGACCGGGACAAUGGGCCCCUACCCCGAAAGGGGUUGGUAAUCUCAUAAACCCGGCCUUAGUUCGAAUUGAGGGCUGUAACUCGCCCUCAUGAAGCUGGAAUCCGUAGUAAUCGCGUUUCAAUAUAGCGCGGUGAAUACGUCCCUGCUCCUUGCACCCACCGCCCGU